rnacentral:lncRNA from 1 species
GAGCCCACAACAAGAUCCAGGAUGACGAAUAGAGUCUAACGAGCCUAAGAACAGUCCAAAUGGAGUCCAGACGGCAAAGAUACGUAUGAAAGAAGAUUGGAGAAGGUGGCACGAUGCACGAGAUGGUGGCGGUAGGCGGCAAGCCAGCGGGGGCCGACGGCAGCAUGGUCGGGCCCGACAGAGAUGCAUGCGCAUAGACACGC